rnacentral:rRNA from 1 species
GAUGAACGCUAGCGGCAGGCUUAACACAUGCAAGUCGAGGGGUAUAGGUUUUCGGACCUAGAGACCGGCGCACGGGUGCGUAACGCGUAUGCAAUCUACCUUUCACAGAGGGAUAGCCCAGAGAAAUUUGGAUUAAUACCUCAUAGUAUAGCAGUUUCGCAUGAAACCACUAUUAAAGUUCCAACGAUGAAAGAUGAGCAUGCGUCUCAUUAGCUAGAUGGUAAGGUAACGGCUUACCAUGGCUACGAUGGUAGGGGUCCUGAGAGGGAGAUCCCCCACACUGGUACUGAGACGCGGACCAGACUCCUACGGGAGGCAGCAGUGAGGAAUAUUGGUCAAUGGACGCAAGUCUGAACCAGCCAUGCCGCGUGCAGGAUGACGGUCCUAUGGAUUGUAAACUGCUUUUGUACGAGAAGAAACAACAUUACGUGUAAUGUCUUGACGGUAUCGUAAGAAUAAGGAUCGGCUAACUCCGUGCCAGCCGCCGCCGUAAGAC